rnacentral:lncRNA from 1 species
UGAGAACUGAGAAGUUCCCAACUGCUGUGGACUUUCCUCUGUUCCUGCUGCCUUCCCAGGGUGAAUAAGGAGGAUUGGUCUUUCUUUCUUUAGAAAGAGAUAAACAUGAAUACCAGAGCAUUUGAGUUUAAACUAAUAUUUUGUUUAGAGAAUUGAGAAGAUUCAAAACCUUUCUCUCCUUUCCCAUAUUAUCAAAGAACCCAAAUCCCAGGUGAGUGGCUACACCACAUUAUCAGGAUUUAGUCAAAGUGCAAUGGAGGAAGAGAGUGGUCAUUAAUAGGGAGAGUUUUCUUGAUACACAAGCUCCCUCCUUCACAAGAUGUAGAACUGGGAAGGGAGGGAACGAGCUCCCUCUCCGGGCAUCAUCUUGAAAGCUCCACCAGCUGUAUUUCAUGAGCACAUUCACUAAGUGAAGACUGUCACGGAGUAUGGUGGUUUGAAUGAGAAUGGCCCCAAUAGGCUCAAAUAUCUGAAUGUUUUGUUCUUAGAUGGUAGAUUGUUUAGGAAGGAUCAUGAGGUGAGAUCAUGUCAGGAGAAACAUGUCAUUGGUGGUGAUCUUAGAAAUCUCAAAGCCAAAACCAGACCCAGUUCUCCCUCUCUCUGCCCCUUGCUUGUUAUAAGAUGUAAGCCCUUAGCUACUGCUCCAGGGCCAUGCCUGCCUGCCUGCCUGCCUGACUGCUACACUCCCCAUCAUAAUGGUCACCCUCUGAUACUGUGAUUAAACCCUCAAUUAAAUGCCCUUUUUGUAAAUUGUCUUGAUUGUGGUGUCUCUUCACAACAAAAGACAAGAACUGAGAUGGGAAUAAGGAGGGAAUCUUUGAAAGAUGUACCUAGGCGAGGAAAAAUGUACAUAACGUAUGGAGUGAGACUGAAGCAGAUUUUGAAUGCUAGAGUCUAUGUUCUUCAUUUGUCAUAAAUUCGCGGGGUAAUAACAGACGAUUGUUAGAAAACUUAAAUCACUCAAUUUUGUAAGACAGCCAGGUAGAGCUAAGUUCCAUGGUAGGGUUUCCCUGGAGGUAUUUUCUGGGAGAGGUCUGGCGCUAUUUCUGGGGAUCAAAACCUGGGUUCUUACUAGCAC